AUACGUAGGGGGCAAGCGUUAUCCGGAAUUAUUGGGCGUAAAGAGUGCGUAGGUGGUUAUUUAAGCGAGAGGUUUAAGGCUACAGCUUAACUGUAGUUCGCCUCUCGAACUGAAUGACUUGAGUGCAGGAGAGGAAAGCGGAAUUCCUAGUGUAGCGGUGAAAUGCGUAGAUAUUAGGAGGAACACCAGUGGCGAAGGCGUCUUUCAGGACUGAAUCUGACUCGGAGGCACGAAAGCGUGUGGAGCAAACAGGAUGAGAUACCCGGGUAGUCCACGCCGUAAACGAUGAGCACUAGGUGUCGGGAGGAUGAACUCUCGGUGCCGCAGUUAACGCAAUAAGUGCUCCGCCUGGGGAGUACGCACGCAAGUGUAAAACUCAAAUGAAUUGACGGGG
rnacentral:rRNA from 1 species